rnacentral:misc_RNA from 1 species
GAUGAGAACGCAGCGAAAUGCGAUACGUAGUGUGAAUUGCAGAAUUCAGUGAAUCAUCGAAUCUUUGAACGCACAUUGCACCUCUCGGUAUUCCGGGAGGUAUGCCUGUUCGAGCGUCAUUUGUACCCUCAAGCUCUGCUUGGUGUUGGGUGUUUGUUCCGCCUCUGUGUGUGAACUCGCCUCAAAACAAUUGGCAGCCGGCGUACUUGUUUCGGAGCGCAGCACAUUUUGCGAUCCAGAUCAACGUACAGCGGCAUCCAAGAAGCCUUAUUUAACGCUCUUGACCUCGGAUCAGGUAGGGAUACCCGCUGAACUUAAGCAUAUCAAUAAGCGGAGGA